rnacentral:rRNA from 1 species
GAUGAACGCUGGCGGCGUGCUUAACACAUGCAAGUCGAACGGUGAAGGCGGAGCUUGCUCUGCUGGAUCAGUGGCGAACGGGUGAGUAACACGUGAGCAAUCUGCCCCUGACUCUGGGAUAAGCGCUGGAAACGGCGUCUAAUACUGGAUACGAGCUGCGAAGGCAUCUUCAGCAGCUGGAAAGAACUUCGGUCAGGGAUGAGCUCGCGGCCUAUCAGCUUGUUGGUGAGGUAACGGCUCACCAAGGCGUCGACGGGUAGCCGGCCUGAGAGGGUGACCGGCCACACUGGGCCUGAGACACGGCCCAGACUCCUACGGGAGGCAGCAGUGGGGAAUAUUGCACAAUGGGCGAAAGCCUGAUGCAGCAACGCCGCGUGGGGGACGACGGCCUUCGGGUUGUAAACCUCUUUUAGCAGGGAAGAAGCGAAAGUGACGGUACCUGCAGAAAAAGCGCCGGCUAACUACGUG